rnacentral:rRNA from 1 species
AGGGCAUUUGGUGGAUGCCUUGGCGUUGAGAGGCGAUGAAGGACGUGACACGCUGCGAUAAGCCAUGGGGAGCUGCGAGUAAGCUUUGAUCCGUGGAUUUCCGAAUGGGGAAACCCGACCAUUUAGGUCAUCCCGCAAGGGAAGCGAACCCGGGGAACUGAAAUAUCUAAGUACCCGGAGGAAAGGACAUCAACCGAGACUCCGUUAGUAGUGACGAGCGAACGCGGACCAGGCCAGUGGCCUGUUAGAAGACAACCAGAAGCGUCUGGAAAGGCGCGCCAUAGUGGGUGAUAGCCCCGUAUGGGUAAUGCUUCUUUCAGGUCCUUGAGUAGGGCGGGACACGUGAAAUCCUGUCUGAACAUGGGGGGACCACCCUCCAAGCCUAAGUACUCCUCAACGACCGAUAGCGAACCAGUACCGUGAGGGAAAGGUGAAAAGCACCCCGAUGAGGGGAGUGAAAUAGACCUGAAACCGAAUGCCUACAAUCAGUCGGAGCCACAUUACGUGGUGACGGCGUACCUUUUGUAUAAUGGGUCAGCGAGUUACUUUGACGUGCAAGCCUAAACCGUUAGGUGUAAGCGAAGCGAAAGCGAGUCUGAAUAGGGCGAUUUAGUACGUUUGAGUAGACCCGAAACCGGGUGAUCUAGCCAUGGGCAGGUUGAAGAUACGGUAACACGUAUUGGAGGACCGAACCCACUUCUGUUGAAAAAGGAGGGGAUGACCUGUGGCUAGGGGUGAAAGGCCAAUCAAACCCGGAGAUAGCUGGUUCUCUGCGAAAACUAUUUAGGUAGUGCGUCAUGUAUUACUGUCGGGGGUAGAGCACUGGAUGGGCUAGGGGGGCGCGAGCCUUACCAAACCUAACCAAACUCCGAAUACCGACAAGUACAGCAUGGCAGACAGACUAUGGGUGCUAAGGUCCAUAGUCGAGAGGGAAACAGCCCAGACCUCCAGCUAAGGUCCCUAAAUUGUGGCUAAGUGGGAAAGGAUGUGGGAAGGCCAAGACAGCCAGGAGGUUGGCUUAGAAGCAGCCAUCCUUUAAAGAAAGCGUAACAGCUCACUGGUCUAGUUAAGCCGGCCUGCGCCGAAGAUGUAACGGGGCUAAAGCCAUACACCGAAGCUGUGGAUGCCGUAAGGCAUGGUAGCGGAGCGUUCUGUAAGCCGCUGAAGGUAACACGUGAGUGUUAUUGGAGGUAUCAGAAGUGAGAAUGCUGACAUGAGUAGCGAUAAAGAGUGUGAGAAACACUCUCGCCGUAAGCCCAAGGGUUCCUGCGCAAGGCUAAUCCGCGCAGGGUGAGUCGGCCCCUAAGACGAGGGCGAAAGCCGUAGUCGAUGGGAACACGGUUAAUAUUCCGUGACCUGAUGGUAGUGACGGAUGACGUAAGUUGUACAUGCUUAUCGGAUUGUGUGUGCAGCGAAGUUGUCCCAGGAAAUAGCUCCAUCAUUAAGACCGUACCCGAAACCGACACAGGUGGGCAGGUUGAGUAUACCAAGGCGCUUGAGAGAACGAUGUUGAAGGAACUCGGCAAAAUGCCCCCGUAACUUCGGGAUAAGGGGGACCUCUGUUUGGGCAACCAGACAGGGGUGGCACAGAAUAGGGGGUGGCGACUGUUUAUUAAAAACACAGGGCUCUGCGAAGUAGUUAAUACGACGUAUAGGGUCUGACGCCUGCCCGGUGCUGGAAGGUUAAGAGGAGGUGUGAGAGCUCCGAAUUGAAGCCCCAGUAAACGGCGGCCGUAACUAUAACGGUCCUAAGGUAGCGAAAUUCCUUGUCGGGUAAGUUCCGACCUGCACGAAUGGCGUAACGACUUCCCCGCUGUCUCCAACAUCGACUCAGCGAAAUUGAAUUCUCCGUGAAGAUGCGGAGUUCCCGCGGUCAGACGGAAAGACCCCGUGCACCUUUACUACAACUUUACAGUGGCAUCAGAAUGUAGAUGUGCAGGAUAGGUGGGAACCUUUGAAGCCGUAGCGCCAGCCGCGGUGGAGGUAACCUUGAGAUACCACCCUUCUGCGUUUUGUUGUCUAACCGCGGCCAGUGAAGCCUGGUCCGGGACCCUGUAUGGUGGGUAGU